GUAGGUGAACCUGCGGAAGGAUCAUUAAUAGUAUCUAAAAUAUAUAUACCUUAUUGUGCAUUGUUUUUGCUUUUUGCGGGCGUUAUACAGAUAAUGUAUAGUGCAAUGGUGUGCAGUGUAUUGUUGUGAAGAAGGAUAGUGAUGAUGAUUUCGUUCAUCAUUGUCAUUUCACAACAGUAUACAAAUAUACAUUUUGCCUAUACACCAGUAUGUAUAACUUUUUAUUAAACAAACUUAUGUUUACUAAUUUAUUGUAAUGUUGUCAUUACUUUUAACAGUUAAUUAACUGUAGUAUAAUAAUAUCAAUACAACUUACAGCGAUGGAUCUCUAGGCUCUG
rnacentral:misc_RNA from 1 species